UACAGAGGAUGCAAGCGUUAUCCGGAAUCAUUGGGCGUAAAGCGUCUGUAGGUGGCUUUUUAAGUCCGCCGUCAAAUCCCAGGGCUCAACUCUGGACAGGCGGUGGAAACUACCAAGCUGGAGUACGGUAGGGGCAGAGGGAAUUUCCGGUGGAGCGGUGAAAUGCGUAGAGAUCGGAAAGAACACCAGCGGCGAAAGCACGCUGCUGGGCCGACACUGACACUGAGAGACGAAGGCUAGGGGAGCGAAUGGG
rnacentral:rRNA from 1 species